rnacentral:rRNA from 1 species
GAACGAGAAAGGGCAGCAAUGCCUGAGUAAAGUGGCGCACGGGUGAGUAACACGUGACUAACCUACCCUUGAGUGGGGGAUAACCUAGGGAAACCUGGGCUAAUACCGCAUAAUACCUAUGGGUCAAGGCGAGCAAUCGCGCUUAGGGAGGGGGUCGCGGCAGAUUAGUUAGUUGGUAGGGUAACGGCCUACCAAGACGAUGAUCUGUAUCCGGCCUGAGAGGGCGCACGGACACACUGGAACUGAAACACGGUCCAGACUCCUACGGGAGGCAGCAGUGGGGAAUUUUGCGCAAUGGGGGAAACCCUGACGCAGCAACGCCGCGUGGAGGAUGAAAUAUCUUGGUAUGUAAACUCCUUUCGAUGGGGACGAUAAUGACGGUACCCAUAGAAGAAGCCCCGGCUAACUUCGUGC